rnacentral:lncRNA from 1 species
GUUUCGUAAUUUCCCCCUCAUUAAAACCUAGAUCUGUAGCUUCUCUCCUCUCUCAGAAAAUUGCGCACUCUCCCCAUCACCACACCUUCCAGAUCCUUUCUCCCCCAUGACUUUGUCCUUUAUCACCACCACCAUCGUUUCUUUGCCUCUCGCCACUAUCAACCACCAACCACCGCCGCGCUGCCCCUCUUCUUUCCCCGACGUUGAGGUACGUCGCCGGCAAUCAUCAUGGAGAUCCGUUCGUCCUCACUCUCUAUCUAAAAUCUGGUAGUAUUCACCGGCGUUGGUAACAGAGACGUCGUCGUUGGUCAUCAUGGAGUCUGUGUGCAUUGUAUUAUGUUGAUGUUAAUCUGUUUUGAGUUCAAUAUGGUGUUGUGUUGGAGUUCAAUCUUUUCACUCUCAUUGAUGUGUUGUGCUACUGAUUUUGUUUUCUCUGAAUUUUGAUGGCUACGGGUAAAAAGGUAAAACAUUUAAUUUGUCUUUGAAAUUAUAUUUCUUUUGUUGUUCAACAUGUUUGUAAGUUUGCUUAAGUUUUCUUUUGCUUCAUGUUAUCUGGUGUGAAGCUAUGGACAUUGUAUUGAUUUAUUUCAUUAUUGUGUUUGCCUUUUGCAGUGAAAAAAUGUCUACAUGCUCUUCCAAUUUCAAAUGAGCACAAUUGAAAAGAUAGGAUGGGUCACUAUUUUGUUCUAGUUUUGCUGUUAGUGUUGUGUAUUGCUGUUUCGGUAGGAUUGUUUUCAGCUUUUGGGGGCUGCAUUCACUGUUGCUAUAUCUGUGAUUUUGCAGUGGUGGUUUUGUGCUCAGUUUUUUGCCUGGCACUGUGAGAGUUGGCCGCCGCAAUGCUGAGCUGUCGUGGCUUCGCUUUCUUGCUGCCGUGGCUUCGUUUUGCUGUGAAGUGUGUGUUUGCUCAGUUUUCUCAUGCCCUGUUAAUAAACUUGUCUAUAUCAAAGAAUAAAAAGGUCAAGUUAUAGAUUUUCUACCAAUUGCGUCUUCUUUAUAUGAAUUAUCCGAAACAGCACCAACUCGACAAGGUUGUAUAUGUUCAGAUAUAAUGAAGGAGAUGAGUAAUUAGAAAAUUGAGAAGCUGAAGGUCAAGUUAUCUGAUGAGAAGAAAAGAAUUGGGCAAUCAUUAUUUUUUGUUGUCAUGGAGAUUUUUGUUACUCGCGUACUUAGGUUUUAGUGGAAAAUUGAUGUUCUCAAGUGUAUUUGAUGUAUUUGUUACAAUUUUUUUUUAAGGGUUAAUUUGUUACACUUGUUGACCUAUUUUGUGGUUGUUUAGAACAAUUAUGCAAAAUUGAAGUUUAUUAAGUGGCUAUUUUAUGACUGAUUCAAAUCCAGUCAUCUAGUAUCUUGAUGAUAAAUUUUGUG